rnacentral:rRNA from 1 species
UACGUAGGGGGCAAGCGUUGUCCGGAAUUAUUGGGCGUAAAGAGCUCGUAGGCGGUGUGUCGCGUCGGCCGUGAAAACCUGUGGCUUAACUGCGGGCUUGCGGUCGAUACGGGCAUCACUGGAGUUCGGCAGGGGAGACUGGAAUUCCUGGUGUAGCGGUGAAAUGCGCAGAUAUCAGGAGGAACACCGAUGGCGAAGGCAGCACUCUGGGCCGGUACUGACGCUGAGGAGCGAAAGCGUGGGGAGCAAACAGG